GACGAACGCUGGCGGCGUGCCUAAUACAUGCAAGUUGAGCGAUGAAGCUUGGUGCUUGCACCAAUUUGAAGAGCAGCGCACGGGUGAGUAACGCGUGGGGAAUCUGCCUUUGAGCGGGGGACAACAUUUGGAAACGAAUGCUAAUACCGCAUAAUAACUUUAAACAUAAGUUUUAAGUUUGAAAGAUGCAAUUGCAUCACUCAAAGAUGAUCCCGCGUUGUAUUAGCUAGUUGGUGAGGUAAAGGCUCACCAAGGCGAUGAUACAUAGCCGACCUGAGAGGGUGGUCAGCCACAUUGGGACUGAGACCCGGCCCAAACUCCUACGGGAGGCAGCAGUAGGGAAUCUUCGGCAAUGGACGAAAGUCUGACCGAGCAACGCCGCGUGAGUGAAGAAGGUUGUCGGAUCGUAAAACUCUGUUGGUAGAGAAGAACGUUGGUGAGAGUGGAAAGCUCAUCAAGUGACGGUAACUACCCAGAAAGGGACGGCUAACUACGUG
rnacentral:rRNA from 1 species